AUUGAACGCUGGCGGAAUGCUUUACACAUACAAGUCGAACGGCAGCACGGACUUCGGUCUGGUGGCGAGUGGCGAACGGGUGAGUAAUGUAUCGGAACGUGCCCAGUCGUGGGGGAUAACGUAGUGAAAAUUACGCUAAUACCGCAUACGAUCUAUGGAUGAAAGCGGGGGAUCGCAAGACCUCGCGCGAUUGGAGCGGCCGAUAUCAGAUUAGGUAGUUGGUGGGGGAAAGGCCCACCAAGCCAACGAUCUGUAGCUGGUCUGAGAGGACGACCAGCCACACUGGAACUGAGACGCGGUCCAGACGCCUACGGGAGGCAGCAGUGGGGAAUUUUGGACAAUGGGCGAAAGCCUGAUCCAGCCAUUCCGCGUGCAGGAUGAAGGCCCUCGGGUUGUAAACUGCUUUUGUACAGAACGAAAAGGUUUCUACUAAUACUAGGAGCUCAUGGCGGUACUGUAAGAAUAAGCACCGGCUAACUACGUGCCAGCCGCCGCCGUAA
rnacentral:rRNA from 1 species